rnacentral:rRNA from 1 species
CUCAAGCUGCAACCCUACGCGCAAUCUUCCGUCGCCAACCGCCCAUGCAAGAAGCUGGCAUUCAAGUUCUUCGGCAUGUUCACCAUGGUGGAGCGCAUUGGCAACCUGGCGUACCGCCUGCAAUUGCCCACAGACAGCCGCAUCCAUUCGGUCUUCCACGUCUCCCAGCUCAAGCCAUUCGUCCCCGACUAUACCACCGUCUUCGCCGAGCUGCCCAAGAUCCCGGGGCUCACCACCGACGAGUGUGCUCCGGUGGCCAUCCUGGACCGCCGCAUGAUGAAGAAGGGGAACACUCCAAUGGUACAAGUGCAAGUGCAAUGGAACUCCAUGCCGCCUUCAGCUGCUACCUGGGAAAACUACACCGUCCUGCGGCAACGCUACCCCGACGCGUAGCUCUAGGAAGAGGAAGAAGUUGCUGCUCGAACGGGGGCAAAUGUCACACCUACAGAUCAAUCAGCAGUGGAUUGA